UACGUAGGGUGCGAGCGUUAAUCGGAAUUACUGGGCGUAAAGCGUGCGCAGGCGGCUUUGCAAGACAGAUGUGAAAUCCCCGGGCUUAACCUGGGAACUGCAUUUGUGACUGCAAGGCUAGAGUACGGUAGAGGGGGAUGGAAUUCCGCGUGUAGCAGUGAAAUGCGUAGAUAUGCGGAGGAACACCGAUGGCGAAGGCAAUCCCCUGGGCCUGCACUGACGCUCAUGCACGAAAGCGUGGGGAGCAAACAGG
rnacentral:rRNA from 1 species